CAGCUAAGCUAGCUAACGCCAUAGAAAUACCUGGGUGACGCUGAGGUGGGUGGAGCAUGCUCGGGUGGAGAGGGCGUUGCAUUGCUGUGACUCGGCUUCAGUGUCGUCUGAGAGGCACACGGAACAGUGUGGAGUAGUGAUUGAAGUGCAUUAGAAGAGUUGCUGUACCUAUUUGGAGUGUGUACAGGAGCGUGUGCGUUCAUAAACCAACUCUAACACACUGUGCAUGAAGACAGCACCCACAGCUGAUCGACGUGGAAAAUAUCACAGGAAUGAGAAGUGAAUUGGAUGCACCCCCAGUGAGGGGGGAGAGAG